rnacentral:rRNA from 1 species
GAUGAACGCUAGCGGGAGGCUUAACACAUGCAAGUCGAGGGGCAGCAUAGGGUAGCAAUACUCUGAUGGCGACCGGCAAACGGGUGAGUAACGCGUAUGCAACCUACCCUGUACAGGGGGAUAACCCGGAGAAAUUCGGACUAAUAUCCCGUAAUAAUAUCCGGAGGCAUCUUUGGAUAUUUAAAGUUCCGACGGUACGGGAUGGGCAUGCGUAACAUUAGCUGGUUGGUAAGGUAACGGCUUACCAAGGCUAUGAUGUUUAGGGGUCCUGAGAGGGUGGUCCCCCACACUGGUACUGAGACACGGACCAGACUCCUACGGGAGGCAGCAGUGAGGAAUAUUGGUCAAUGGGCGCAAGCCUGAACCAGCCAUCCCGCGUGCAGGAAGACGGCCCUAUGGGUUGUAAACUGCUUUUCCAGGGAGAGAAACUUACGCACGUGUUGCGUGACUGACGGUACCCUGGGAAUAAGCAUCGGACUAACUCCGUCGCCAGCACGCCGGACGGUAAAAGUGUGUGUA